rnacentral:misc_RNA from 1 species
CAACCCUCAAGCCCCCGGGUUUGGUGUUGGGGAUCGGCUCUGCCUCACGGCGGUGCCGCCCCCGAAAUACAUUGGCGGUCUCGCUGCAGCCUCCAUUGCGUAGUAGCUAACACCUCGCAACUGGAACGCGGCGCGGCCAUGCCGUAAAACCCCAACUUCUGAA